GUGGGGAAUUUUGGACAAUGGGCGCAAGCCUGAUCCAGCAAUGCCGCGUGCAGGAAGAAGGCCUUCGGGUUGUAAACUGCUUUUGUACGGAACGAAACGGUCCGGGUUAAUACCCUGGGCUAAUGACGGUACCGUAAGAAUAAGCACCGGCUAACUACGUGCCAGCAGCCGCGGUAAUACGUAGGGUGCAAGCGUUAAUCGGAAUUACUGGGCGUAAAGCGUGCGCAGGCGGUUUUGUAAGACAGGCGUGAAAUCCCCGGGCUCAACCUGGGAAUUGCGCUUGUGACUGCAAGGCUGGAGUGCGGCAGAGGGAGGUGGAAUUCCGCGUGUAGCAGUGAAAUGCGUAGAGAUGCGGAGGAACACCGAUGGCGAAGGCAGCCUCCUGGGAUGACACUGACGCUCAUGCACGAAAGCGUGGGGAGCAAACAGGAUUAGAAACCCCGGUAGUCC
rnacentral:rRNA from 1 species